rnacentral:rRNA from 1 species
GACGAACGCUGGCGGCGUGCCUAAUACAUGCAAGUCGAGCGAAUUUACGAGAGCUUGCUCUCGUAAAUUAGCGGCGGACGGGUGAGUAACACGUGGGCAACCUGCCUAUAAGACUGGGAUAACUUCGGGAAACCGGAGCUAAUACCGGAUAAUUCACAUCUACUCAUGUAGAUGUGCUGAAAGACGGUUUACGCUGUCGCUUAUAGAUGGGCCCGCGGCGCAUUAGCUAGUUGGUGAGGUAACGGCUCACCAAGGCCACGAUGCGUAGCCGGCCUGAGAGGGCGGACGGCCACACUGGGACUGAGACACGGCCCAGACUCCUACGGGAGGCAGCAGUGGGGAAUUGUUCACAAUGGGCGCAAGCCUGAUGACGCAGCGCCGCGUGGGGGAUGAAGGUCUUCGGAUCGUAAACCCCUGUCGAAUGGGACGAAAGACUCGCGAGUGAAUAUUUCGCGAGAGUGACGGUACCGUUAAAGGAAG